rnacentral:rRNA from 1 species
GCUUGUCUCAAAGAUUAAGCAGGGACAUAAAAGCGAGGAGGGAUGAAGGAGGAAACUUAAGCGCUGAGAGCGAGAUGAAUGUCUUGGCAGAUCUCUGUGAGAUUGAGCUGGAUCCAGCGCGUGUCGCCGACGUAGUAAUCCAGGGCUUCACGUGCGUGUGAUUGAAGAUCUGUCGUGCUGAAAAGACGGCGUGUUGCUAAGGCCAAGAUAUCGGAGCGAUCCGAGGGGGAGAAUCGGGCGAUCUUCGAGACCGCCAAAUCCAAGGGGCAGAAAACCCGAAGAUGGAUGAGCCUGCGUUCGUUACCGAUCCCAUCCCAACUUUGGCAAGCCUCACGAUGAUCGGGAUGCAGCAGUGCAAAGGUGUCGUUGUAAGUGGGGUCGAGAUAGAUGCUGGAAGGGGUAUCGUCUUCCCGGACAUAACUGACCGCGAGCUCAUUGUAAGGAAGGCAGCAGG